rnacentral:rRNA from 1 species
GCAUAUCAAUAAGCGGAAGGAAAAAGAAACUAACAAGGAUUCCCCUAGUAACUGCGAGUGAAGCGGGAAAAGCUCAAAUUUAAAAUCUGGUGGUCUCUGGCCAUCCGAGUUGUAAUCUAGAGAAGUGUUACCCGCGUCGGACCGUGUACAAGUCUCCUGGAAUGGAGCGUCAUAGAGGGUGAGAAUCCCGUCUUUGACACGGACCCCCGAGGCUUUGUGGUGCGCUCUCAAAGAGUCGAGUUGUUUGGGAAUGCAGCUCAAAAUGGGUGGUAAAUUCCAUCUAAAGCUAAAUAUUGGCGAGAGACCGAUAGCGAACAAGUACCGUGAGGGAAAGAUGAAAAGAACUUUGGAAAGAGAGUUAAACAGUACGUGAAAUUGCUGAAAGGGAAACGCUUGAAGUCAGUCGCGUUUGCCGGAAAUCAGCCUUCCUUUUGGUUGGUGUACUUUCUGGUUGACGGGCCAGCAUCAGUUUUGACCGGUGGAUAAAGUUGUAGGGAAUGUGGCAUCUUCGGGUGUGUUAUAGCCCUGCUUCGUAUACAUCGAUUGGGACUGAGGAACUCAGCACGCCGCAAGGCCGGGAUUCGUCCACGUUCGUGCUUAGGAUGCUGGCAUAAUGGCUUUAAUCGACCCGUCUUGAAACACGGACCAAGGAGUCUAACAUGCCUGCGAGUGUUUGGGUGGAAAACCCGAGCGCGUAAUGAAAGUGAAAGUCGAGAUCCUUGUCAUGGGGAGCAUCGACGCCCGGACCAGAAGUUUACGGACGGUUCUGCGGUAGAGCAUGUAUGUUGGGACCCGAAAGAUGGUGAACUAUGCCUGAAUAGGGUGAAGCCAGAGGAAACUCUGGUGGAGGCUCGUAGCGAUUCUGACGUGCAAAUCGAUCGUCAAAUUUGGGUAUAGGGGCGAAAGACUAAUCGAAACCAUCUAGUAGCUGUCUGCGAG